UACGUAGGGGGCAAGCGUUGUCCGGAAUCAUUGGGCGUAAAGAGCGUGUAGGCGGCCCGGUAAGUCCGCUGUGAAAGUCCAGGGCUCAACCCUGGGAUGCCGGUGGAUACUGUCGGGCUCGAGUCCGGAAGAGGAGUGUGGAAUUCCAGGUGUAGCGGUGAAAUGCGCAGAUAUCGGGAGGAACACCAAUUGCGAAGGCAGCUCGCUGGGACGUCACUGACGCUGAGACGCGAAAGCGUGGGGAGCAAACAGG
rnacentral:rRNA from 1 species